CCUACGGGAGGCAGCAGUGGGGAAUAUUGCGCAAUGGGCGAAAGCCUGACGCAGCGACGCCGCGUGAGGGAUGAAGGCCUUCGGGUUGUAAACCUCUUUCAGCAGGGACGAAAACAGACGGUACCUGCAGAAGAAGCACCGGCCAACUACGUGCCAGCAGCCGCGGUAAUACGUAGGGUGCAAGCGUUGUCCGGAAUUAUUGGGCGUAAAGAGCUCGUAGGCGGUUUGUCGCGUCGGCUGUGAAAACUCGGGGCUCAACCCCGAGCCUGCAGUCGAUACGGGCAGACUAGAGUGCUGUAGGGGAGACUGGAAUUCCUGGUGUAGCGGUGAAAUGCGCAGAUAUCAGGAGGAACACCGGUGGCGAAGGCGGGUCUCUGGGCAGUAACUGACGCUGAGGAGCGAAAGCGUGGGGAGCAAACAGGAUUAGAUACCCUGGUAGUCCACGCCGUAAACGGUGGGUGCUAGGUGUAGGUCGUAUUCCUACGCGAUCUGUGCCGCNGCUACGACAUAAGACACCCGCCGCGGGAGGUACGGCCGCGACGGACGUAAACGUACGUAAAGGUAAGUUAGUUACGGCGUGAGACGUGCCGACGGCGACGACGAGGGAGGAGG
rnacentral:rRNA from 1 species